GGGCAUUUUCUAUUAGAAUCUCCUGAUGUUGUUUUCAUUAAUUGCAUAUAGGUGCUGAGCGAAGGAGGGCACGGUGGACGUUCCAGCUAGCUGACAUAUAAUUGUCUCAACAUGAUAUUCUCCAUUGGUUUUGGGCUUUGCUUGCUGCAACAUGAAUAAUGAAUAUGCAGCUGAAAAGCGACAACCAUAAUUAAUUGAAGAGAGUCGCGUACGGUGCAUGGGAUGGGUCCAAAACCAGAAACGCUGCUGCUCUUAAACACGUGAAAAUUUAGGAAGUAGGAGGAAGUCAGCUUGGUGUUGUGAGAAACUCAUUCUCUUUUGUUUUGCUUUCCGCAAUUCCUUUGGUGGGAAGACAAGGUCAACGAUAAGAACACGAGUUGUUGUCGGAGGUUGAUGUGAAUGCAGAUCAGCCAAAACUCAAAAGUAACAUAAUGAUCUUUUGGGUUACAAAAUCAGGUAUGCUCACAACCCCCCAUAUUCUCUUCAAAAGGCCACUCCGUCUCCUUCAGGCUGAGUAGCAUGAUCAUUCACACCACUCCAAUACAACACAACUUGAAAAAUUCUUUGGCUUUCUCGGAAGGAAUGAUGAAGUUCCAUAGCUCAAGGACCCACGCAUACAGAUUGUGCUCAAAUUCACUGUUUCCAUCCUUCUAUUAUCAAUAUUUGUUACUGUCUAUCUUUAAUAAUAAGAAAAAUGAUAUUUACAAUCGUAAAG